ACGCCUUAUACAUGCAAGUCGAACGAAGUAGCAAUACUUAGUGGCAGACGGGUGAGUAACAUGUAGGUAUCUUCCCUUUGGUGAGGAAUAACACGAGGAAACUUGUGCUAAUACCUCAUAAGUCUUUACGGAGAAAGCUUUAUGCGCCGAAGGAUGAGCCUGCACUUGAUUAGUUUGUUGGUGGGGUAAUGGCCUACCAAGACUUUGAUCUAUAGCUGAUCUGAGAGGAUGAUCAGCCACAUUGGGACUGAGACACGGCCCAAACUCCUACGGGAGGCAGCAGUAGGGAAUAUUGCACAAUGGAGGAAACUCUGAUGCAGCGAUGCCGCGUGAGUGAAGAAGGCCUUUGGGUUGUAAAGCUCUUUCGUCGGGGAAGAAAAUGACUGUACCCGAAUAAGAAGGUCCGGCUAACUUCGUGCCAGCAGCCGCGGUAAUACGAAGGGACCUAGCGUAGUUCGGAAUUACUGGGCUUAAAGAGUUCGUAGGUGGUUAAAAAAGUUGGUGGUGAAAUCCCAGAGCUUAACUCUGGAACUGCCAUCAAAACUUUUUAGCUAGAGUAUGAUAGAGGAAAGCAGAAUUUCUAGUGUAGAGGUGAAAUUCGUAGAUAUUAGAAAGAAUACCAAUUGCGAAGGCAGCUUUCUGGAUCAUUACUGACGCUGAGGAACGAAAGCAUGGGUAGCGAAGAGGAUUAGAUACCCUCGUAGUCCAUGCCGUAAACGAUGUGUGUUAGACGUUGGAAAUUUAUUUUCAGUGUCGCAGCGAAAGCAUUAAACACACCGCCUGGGGAGUACGACCG
rnacentral:rRNA from 1 species